rnacentral:rRNA from 1 species
UACGUAGGGUGCGAGCGUUGUCCGGAAUUACUGGGCGUAAAGAGCUCGUAGGUGGUUUGUCGCGUUGUUCGUGAAAACCGGGGGCUUAACCCUCGGCGUGCGGGCGAUACGGGCAGACUGGAGUACUGCAGGGGAGACUGGAAUUCCUGGUGUAGCGGUGAAAUGCGCAGAUAUCAGGAAGAACACCCGUGGCGAAGGCGGCUCUCUGGGACGGUACUGACGCUGAGACGCGAAAGCGUGGGGAGCGAACAGG